rnacentral:tRNA from 8 species
GGUUCGAAUCCCUCUCUCUCCU